UGAGGAAUAUUGGUCAAUGGGCGAGAGCCUGAACCAGCCAAGUAGCGUGCAGGAUGACGGCCCUAUGGGUUGUAAACUGCUUUUAUGUGGGGAUAAAGUGCGUGACGUGUCAUGCAUUGCAGGUACCACAUGAAUAAGGACCGGCUAAUUCCGUGCCAGCAGCCGCGGUAAUACGGAAGGUCCGGGCGUUAUCCGGAUUUAUUGGGUUUAAAGGGAGCGUAGGCUGUCUAUUAAGCGUGUUGUGAAAUAUACCGGCUCAACCAGUGGCUUGCAGCGCGAACUGGUCGACUUGGGUAUGCAGGAAGUAGGCGGAAUUCAUGGUGUAGCGGUGAAAUGCUUAGAUAUCAUGACGAACUCCGAUUGCGCAGGCAGCUUACUGUAGCAUAACUGACGCUGAUGCUCGAAAGUGCGGGUAUCAAACAGG
rnacentral:rRNA from 1 species